rnacentral:rRNA from 1 species
GUCUAUGGCCAUACCACCCUGAACGCGCCUGAUCUCAUCUGAUCUCAGAAGCUAAGCAGGGUCGGGCCUGGUUAGUACUUGGAUGGGAGAAAAACACAGACUAGAUU